CCUGGCUCAGGAUGAACGCUAGCUACAGGCUUAACACAUGCAAGUCGAGGGGCAGCAUGGUCUUAGCUUGCUAAGGCCGAUGGCGACCGGCGCACGGGUGAGUAACGCGUAUCCAACCUGCCUUACACUCUUGGACAGCCUUCUGAAAGGGAGAUUAAUACAAGAUGUUAUCAUGAGUAAGCAUUUUCGCAUGAUUAAAGGUUUACCGGUGUAAGAUGGGGAUGCGUUCCAUUAGAUAGUAGGCGGGGUAACGGCCCACCUAGUCUUCGAUGGAUAGGGGUUCUGAGAGGAAGGUCCCCCACAUUGGAACUGAGACACGGUCCAAACUCCUACGGGAGGCAGCAGUGAGGAAUAUUGGUCAAUGGACGAGAGUCUGAACCAGCCAAGUAGCGUGAAGGAUGAAGGUUCUAUGGAUUGUAAACUUCUUUUAUACGGGAAUAAACGAAUCCACGUGUGGAUUUUUGCAUGUACCGUAUGAAUAAGGAUCGGCUAACUCCGUGCCAGCAGCCGCGGUAAUACGGAGGAUCCGAGCGUUAUCCGGAUUUAUUGGGUUUAAAGGGAGCGUAGAUGGGUUGUUAAGUCACUUGUGAAAGUUUGCGGCUCAACCGUAAAAUUGCAAUUGAUACUGGCAGUCUUGAGUACCGUUGAGGUAGGCGGAAUUCGUGGUGUAGCGGUGAAAUGCUUAGAUAUCACGAAGAACUCCGAUUGCGAAGGCAGCUAAUAAACCUGUAACUGACAUUGAUGCUCGAAAGUGUGGGUAUCAAACAGGAUUAGAUACCCUGGUAGUCCACACGGUAAACGAUGAAUACUCGCUGUAGGCGAUAUACAGUCUGCGGCCAAGCGAAAGCAUUAAGUAUUCCACCUGGGGAGUACGCCGGCAACGGUGAAACUCAAAGGAAUUGACGGGGGCCCGCACAAGCGGAGGAACAUGUGGUUUAAUUCGAUGAUACGCGAGGAACCUUACCCGGGCUUAAAUUGCAACCGAAUAUGGCGGAAACGCUAUAGCUAGCAAUAGCGGUUGUGAAGGUGCUGCAUGGUUGUCGUCAGCUCGUGCCGUGAGGUGUCGGCUUAAGUGCCAUAACGAGCGCAACCCUUGCCGAUAGUUACUAACAGGUCAUGCUGAGGACUCUGUCGGGACUGCCAUCGUAAGAUGUGAGGAAGGUGGGGAUGACGUCAAAUCAGCACGGCCCUUACGUCCGGGGCUACACACGUGUUACAAUGGGGGGUACAGAGGGCUGCUACCACGCAAGUGGAUGCCAAUCCCAAAAACCUCUCUCAGUUCGGAUUGAAGUCUGCAACCCGACUUCAUGAAGCUGGAUUCGCUAGUAAUCGCGCAUCAGCCACGGCGCGGUGAAUACGUUCCCGGGCCUUGUACACACCGCCCG
rnacentral:rRNA from 1 species